CCUCUGAUAGCUCAGUCUGGAGAGCAUGAGACUCUUAAUCUCAGGGUUGUGGGUUCGAGCAAAAUAAUUCCUGCAUUGCAGGGGG